CAAAGAAUAGUUUAAUGAAAAUAAUAAUUUUGGAGAUUAUAGAUAAAGUGAAUCUUUUUCUUUGA
rnacentral:tRNA from 2 species